rnacentral:rRNA from 1 species
GGGUUGUGAGGUUAAGCGACCAAGCGUACACGGUGGAUGCCCUGGCAGUCAGAGGCGAUGAAGGACGUGCUAAUCUGCGAAAAGCGCCGGUAAGGUGAUAUGAACCGUUAUAACCGGCGAUGUCCGAAUGGGGAAACCCAGUGUGACUCGUCACACUAUCAUUAACUGAAUCCAUAGGUUAAUGAGGCGAACCGGGGGAACUGAAACAUCUAAGUACCCCGAGGAAAAGAAAUCAACCGAGAUUCCCCCAGUAGCGGCGAGCGAACGGGGAGGAGCCCAGAGCCUGAAUCAGCAUGUGUGUUAGUGGAAGCGUCUGGAAAGGCGCGCGAUACAGGGUGACAGCCCCGUACACAAAAGCGCACGUGCUGUGAGCUCGAUGAGUAGGGCGGGACACGUGGUAUCCUGUCUGAAUAUGGGGGGACCAUCCUCCAAGGCUAAAUACUCCUGACUGACCGAUAGUGAACCAGUACCGUGAGGGAAAGGCGAAAAGAACCCCGGCGAGGGGAGUGAAACAGAACCUGAAACCGUGUACGUACAAGCAGUGGGAGCCCCACCACUAAGCCAGUGGUGAACUCCACAUACGCAUCCUUUGCUGAGGAUGCGGUUAACGGAGCGAAAGCGACGUUCAACCGCAAAAGAAGCAGAGGGGGCUUAGUGGUGGGGUGACUGCGUACCUUUUGUAUAAUGGGUCAGCGACUUAUAUUCUGUAGCAAGGUUAACCGCAUAGGGGAGCCGGAGGGAAACCGAGUCUUAACCGGGCGUUAAGUUGCAGGGUAUAGACCCGAAACCCGGUGAUCUAGCCAUGGGCAGGUUGAAGGUUGGGUAACACUAACUGGAGGACCGAACCGACUAAUGUUGAAAAAUUAGCGGAUGACCUGUGGCUGGGGGUGAAAGGCCAAUCAAACCGGGAGAUAGCUGGUUCUCCCCGAAAGCUAUUUAGGUAGCGCCUCGUGAAUUCAUCUCCGGGGGUAGAGCACUGUUUCGGCCAGGGGGCCAUCCCGGCUUACCAAUCCGAUGCAAACUGCGAAUACCGGAGAAUGUUAUCACGGGAGACACACGGCGGGUGCUAACGUCCGUCGUGAAGAGGGAAACAACCCAGACCGCCAGCUAAGGUCCCAAAGUCAUGGUUAAGUGGGAAACGAUGUGGGAAGGCCCAGACAGCCAGGAUGUUGGCUUAGAAGCAGCCAUCAUUUAAAGAAAGCGUAAUAGCUCACUGGUCGAGUCGGCCUGCGCGGAAGAUGUAACGGGGCUAAACCAUGCACCGAAGCUGCGGCAGCGAACGUAUCACCCAAGACAACUUUACACAGUUGACGCCUGACGGAGCGAAGCGACGUCAAAGCGUUUUACAACGUCGAGUUGGCUUAGGGAUACGUUCGUUGGGUAGGGGAGCGUUCUGUAAGCCGUUGAAGGUGUGUCGUGAGGCAUGCUGGAGGUAUCAGAAGUGCGAAUGCUGACAUAAGUAACGAUAAAGCGGGUGAAAAGCCCGCUCGCCGGAAGACCAAGGGUUCCUGUCCAACGUUAAUCGGGGCAGGGUGAGUCGACCCCUAAGGCGAGGCCGAAAGGCGUAGUCGAUGGGAAACGGGUUAAUAUUCCCGUACUUGGUGUUACUGCGAAGGGGGGACGGAGAAGGCUAUGUUGGCCGGGCGACGGUUGUCCCGGUUUAAGCGUGUAGGUGUGUGUUCCAGGUAAAUCCGGUUCACUUUAACACUGAGGCGUGAUGACGAGGCACUACGGUGCUGAAGCAACAAAUGCCCUGCUUCCAGGAAAAGCCUCUAAGCCUCAGGUAACAUCAAAUCGUACCCCAAACCGACACAGGUGGUCAGGUAGAGAAUACCAAGGCGCUUGAGAGAACUCGGGUGAAGGAACUAGGCAAAAUGGUGCCGUAACUUCGGGAGAAGGCACGCUGACACGUAGGUGAAGUGGUUUACCCAUGGAGCUGAAGUCAGUCGAAGAUACCAGCUGGCUGCAACUGUUUAUUAAAAACACAGCACUGUGCAAACACGAAAGUGGACGUAUACGGUGUGACGCCUGCCCGGUGCCGGAAGGUUAAUUGAUGGGGUCAGCGCAAGCGAAGCUCCUGAUCGAAGCCCCGGUAAACGGCGGCCGUAACUAUAACGGUCCUAAGGUAGCGAAAUUCCUUGUCGGGUAAGUUCCGACCUGCACGAAUGGCGUAAUGAUGGCCAGGCUGUCUCCACCCGGGACUCAGUGAAAUUGAACUCGCUGUGAAGAUGCAGUGUACCCGCGGCAAGACGGAAAGACCCCGUGAACCUUUACUAUAGCUUGACACUGAACACUGGUCCUUGAUGUGCAGGAUAGGUGGGAGGCUUUGAAGUGUGGACGCCAGUCUGCAUGGAGCCAUCCUUGAAAUACCACCCUUUAAUGGCUGGUGUUCUAACGUGGGCCCGUGAACCGGGUUGCGGACAGUGUCUGGUGGGUAGUUUGACUGGGGCGGUCUCCUCCUAAAGAGUAACGGAGGAGCACGAAGGUUGGCUAAUCCUGGUCGGACAUCAGGAGGUUAGUGCAAUGGCAUAAGCCAGCUUGACUGCGAGCGUGACGGCGCGAGCAGGUGCGAAAGCAGGUCAUAGUGAUCCGGUGGUUCUGAAUGGAAGGGCCAUCGCUCAACGGAUAAAAGGUACUCCGGGGAUAACAGGCUGAUACCGCCCAAGAGUUCAUAUCGACGGCGGUGUUUGGCACCUCGAUGUCGGCUCAUCACAUCCUGGGGCUGAAGUAGGUCCCAAGGGUAUGGCUGUUCGCCAUUUAAAGUGGUACGCGAGCUGGGUUUAGAACGUCGUGAGACAGUUCGGUCCCUAUCUGCCGUGGGCGCUGGAAGAUUGAGGGGGGCUGCUCCUAGUACGAGAGGACCGGAGUGGACGCAUCACUGGUGUUCGGGUUGUCAUGCCAAUGGCACUGCCCGGUAGCUACAUGCGGAAGAGAUAAGUGCUGAAAGCAUCUAAGCACGAAACUUGCCCCGAGAUGAAUCUUCCCUGAGCCUUUAAGGCUCCUGAAGGAACGUUGAAGACGACGACGUUGAUAGGCCGGGUGUGUAAGCGCAGCGAUGCGUUGAGCUAACCGGUACUAAUGAACCGUGAGGCUUAACCUUACAACGCCGAAG